UUUUUUAGCCCGCGGAAGUUGU
rnacentral:miRNA from 1 species